CCUUGUGGGAUCACUGAAUAAGAUUCCCCUGUCAAUUGCUGGAAUCCUUCUAUUCAAAGUACCUACUAGUUUGGAAAACUCUGCAAGCAUCUUUUUUGGUAUCUUCAUCUAACUGUUACUUUGAUGGUUAUAUGUAUGAUUAUCUACAUGAACGCAGAUAGACACGGGUUUGCCUCCCACCAUCUGUUUGAAUUACAUUUUCUGGCACUAACUAAAGUAACUGCAUUGUACAGGUUUACUGGCGGGAGUAUUUUUUGCGAGAGCCAAAAUGCGGGAGAGAUCUUAGUCCAGUUACCCUGACAUCUAUUAACUGCUGUAUCCUUGAUAAAAUGUGUCCACUCGGUUGAACUGGCUGACCAUUGUAUACUUCAUAGCAAUGGCGAAUCAGUUAAGAAGUUUUCAUUGACAAGGUAAACACAUGGAGAUUUUUCCAUCCGUUUGGCCUUAUGCUGUUAAAUGUUGAAAAUUCCAUGGUGGAAGGGAGAACAGGAUUAUGCCACAUUGUAUUGGUCACCCAGUUUCAAUGUAAUGAAAGACGCUGCCACUUCAAUUUUAGUCAGUAUUUUCUUUGGGCAGCUCAUCUUUUUUCCUUUUGUAUUAGUGUUCUAGUCUUUGAGGAUUCUCCUUUUAGUGGUAUUUUCUGGGCAACUUGAAUUUUAUAGAUAGUUUUCUGAGCAUGAUCUAUCAACUUUCAUCUGAAAAAUCUAUAUCAACAGACCUACAGGAGGGAGAAAAUUAAUGACAA
rnacentral:misc_RNA from 1 species